GACGAACGCUGGCGGCGUGCCUAAUACAUGCAAGUCGAACGCAGUGGGGACGGGUGAGUAACACGUGGGUAACCUCCCAUCAGAGGGGAUAACACUUGGAAACAGGUGCUAAACCGAUACUGAUGGAUGGACCCGGGGUGCAUUAGCUAGUUGGUGAGGUAACGGCUCACCAAGGCCACGAUGCAUAGCCGGUCUGAGAGGGGGAUCGGCCACACUGGGACUGAGACACGGCCCAGACUCCUACGGGAGGCAGCAGUAGGGAAUCUUCGGCAAUGGGCGCAAGUCUGAUCGAGCAACGCCGCGUGAAUGAAGAAGGUUUUCGGAUCGUAAAGCUCUGUUGUUAGGGAAGCGUUAUCUAAAGAAAAAGCAACGGCUAACUACGUGCCAGCCGCCGCGGUAAUAC
rnacentral:rRNA from 1 species